GAUGAAGAACGUAGCGAAAUGCGAUAAGUAAUGUGAAUUGCAGAAUUCAGUGAAUCAUCGAAUCUUUGAACGCACAUUGCGCCCGCCAGUAUUCUGGCGGGCAUGCCUGUUCGAGCGUCAUUUCAACCAUCAAGCCCCCGGGCUUGUGUUGGGGACCUGCGGCUGCCGCAGGCCCUGAAAAGCAGUGGCGGGCUCGCUGUCACACCGAGCGUAGUAGCAUACAUCUCGCUCUGGGCGUGCUGCGGGUUCCGGCCGUUAAACUGCCCUUUUAACCCAAGGUUGACCUCGGAUCAGGUAGGAAGACCCGCUGAACUUAAGCAUAUCAAUAAGCGGAGGA
rnacentral:misc_RNA from 1 species